ensembl:lncRNA
UUUUUUUUUUUUUUCUUUCCCCAGUAUUUCUAGCGCACAAAAUAACAAGCCUAGUAUGGCAUGGAUUUCAUGAGUAUGUCAGAGCAUGCCUGAACAGUCCAGAGCUUUUUUUUACAACUGGAGAAUCUGGUGCAACUCUAAAAGGCAAACCCCAGCUCAUAAUGUGACUGGGUUCCUCACAGUUAGAGAGAGGAAAUUUUCAAGUGAGUACAAAAUAGGGAUCAGGGAUCUAGGCAGUAAGAAUGCUGUGUGAUAGCAGGGACUUCAAAAGUGCCUUUCUGAUAGUAGCAUGCAUUUUUAUAUCUAUAUGCUCAAGAAGAAAACUGUCUGGUGGCAAAGCAUUUUUGGUUAGUAAUGAAAGUGGAGAGAUUUACACUUGCAUCUCUUGUAGGAAAAGAAACAAUUCAGACAUGAAAUAGAUAAAUUAUGGAAGAUAAGAAAUCCUGUUCAGUUCUAUUCACUCUUGCCCACCAGAAAGCACUUUGGGAAAUGUUGAGCUAACAGUGACGUAAAAAGCAAGUCAUAUAACCAGAGAACCAACUGUGAACAUAUAACCAGGUCACCUCGUGUCAGGCAGUGAGUGGGUGGCGAGACACAUGGACGCUAUAUGAUCAAAAAGGUUGGGUGAAAGACACGUGAGCAGUGAUACCACAGCACAGGCAGCCAGUGUGUGCCUGUUUUGGGGGAGUUUAGAGCAUAAAAAGGUUUUUGCAGCCGUGGGGGAAUCGCUGCACCCUGAAGAGCAGGAAGAGACUCUUGAGUUUUCUUUUUAUUGAACUUUCUGUUUAUUGAGUUUUCUGUUCUUGAUUGUUGUUGUUGUUAGCACUGUUGUACUUUGCCUCUUUAUACACAUACACUCAUAAAAAACUGCUUUUCUCAUAUCUUUGCCUGAAAGCCCCUUAAUUUCCAAGUUAUAAUAAUUUGGAGGCAGGCAGUUGUAUUUUCCAUUUCAAGAGAGGUUCCUGCAUUCCUUGGCGGACGCUCGUCUUUCAAUCCAAGACAAAUUCUCAGAAAGUACAGGUUUUGAACAUAGGAAAGUGGAGGAUUUCAAGGGAAUAACUGGACCGAGACUUGCCUCAUUUUGUACUUUUCAAGACAUAGAGAUGAGAAAAACAAAACACCGCUUCCUACCCACUGGGGUUCGUGCUUGAGUAACAUUGUUGUCUGUUAAAAAAAGUCUUUUUGUGAAAUUGAUUUAUUGAGAAUCAGAAAUAAUAGCAUGGCUUUGCUUUUCUUGUUAGAUCACUUGCUGUACGUUUUUCAAGUGUAUGCUAAUAACAGGGUAAAACUAUUCAGCAAACUUGGAAGUCUACCUUAAAAACUUCCAAUUGAUUUAAGGUGUAAGUUAUGUAUCCACACUCUGCCUGUCAUGAAUAAUUUAACAACUAAAGAGUUCUGCCUCCCAAAAAUCAUAAGUUGAAAGAGUUUGUUGAGUAAUCAUUCAACCUGGCUGUAUCUCUUUUUUCCCUAUGUAUAUGUAUAGCUGAAUGUAUCCACAUUAGUGCUGCCCUUAGUCACCAGUCCUUUCUGUCUUUGCAGUUAAUCUCUGUAUAUGUAUAAUAUAAGUAGGUGUUCUUUAUAAAUAAACUCCCAAAAGGGAACCAGAUGCUGAACUUUAUAGCUGAGUAAACUGAACCACUGAAAGGUGAUGUGAUAAUAUGCUUGGCAUCUGUGAGUCAGCAUUAAGAUGUGCUCCAAAUACUAUUGCAAACACUGACAGUUUCUGGAUAUAAAGAACUCAAUGCGCUUUCAUUAGCGCUGCUGGAAAUUGCUCCCAAGGGUUGUGGUUCUCUCUCAAUUCAGAUCACUUAUGUAAUUUCAGAGUAUGAACUGUUUCAGGCAACUGCAAUGUUCACUGUUUUUUGCACUGUUUGAUGAACUUUCAAUGUAAAGGUUUCCCAGCAUUGGGUUUAGAGCUAAUACUUCAAGUUCAGUAGUCUCAAAGAGCUCCCAAAAUGUUAGAUUAGAAAAUACUACUCACAAGAUGCCCCCUGCCCUGCUUAAUGAUCUGAGUGAAAAAGCAGAGACAGAAGCAGAGACAGUCUGUUGGGUCAGGGCCCUGAUUCACCCUAACACUCAUAUUCAUUAAUCUUCUGUUUACAUUGUUGAAAAAGUACGUGCUGCCUGUGAAGUGAGAUCGCUUCAUAGACAAGCUGGAUAUCUGAUUCCUGGCCUGUCAGUGGAAUGUAAAUGUACUUCCAGUGUGGGAAUGUGCACAGCCCCAGUGAUUAGGGAGUGACUGGAUGUACAGCAGGGACUGUGUGUUAGUGCUGAUCACCCUCACUAAUGAGGAUUUCCUGACCUGGGGGAAAACUCACCAGGUGAGUUUUACAGAGAGCUCAUCCAUCCUGGACUUAAUUCUG